AGGUUAAGUGAAUAAGGGCGCACGGUGGAUGCCUUGGCACUAGGAGCCGAUGAAGGACGGGACUAACACCGAUAUGCUUUGGGGAGCUGUACGUAAGCUAUGAUCCAGAGAUUUCCGAAUGGGGGAACCCAACAUCUUUAAUAGGAUGUUACGAUUGUGUGAAUACAUAGCACAUUCGAGGUAGACGCAGAGAACUGAAACAUCUAAGUACCUGCAGGAAGAGAAAGAAAAUUCGAUUCCCUGAGUAGCGGCGAGCGAAACGGGAAAAGCCCAAACCAGCAAGCUUGCUUGUUGGGGUUGUAGGACUCCAAUAUGGUAGUUCUUUCAGAUAGUCGAAUGACUUGGAAAAGUCAGUCAAAGAGGGUAAAAACCCCGUAGACGAAAUGUGGAAGACACCUAGGAGGAUCCUGAGUACGGCGGAACACGAGAAAUUCCGUCGGAAUCCGGGAGGACCAUCUCCCAAGGCUAAAUACUCCCUAGUGACCGAUAGUGAACCAGUACCGUGAGGGAAAGGUGAAAAGCACCCCGGAAGGGGAGUGAAAUAGAACCUGAAACCGUGUGCCUACAACAAGUCAAAGCCCGUUAAUGGGUGAUGGCGUGCCUUUUGUAGAAUGAACCGGCGAGUUACGAUUGCAUGCGAGGUUAAGUUGAAGAGACGGAGCCGCAGCGAAAGCGAGUCUGAAUAGGGCGUUUGAGUAUGUAGUCGUAGACCCGAAACCAUGUGAUCUACCCAUGUCCAGGUUGAAGGUGCGGUAAAACGCACUGGAGGACCGAACCCACGUACGUUGAAAAGUGCGGGGAUGAGGUGUGGGUAGCGGAGAAAUUCCAAACGAACUUGGAGAUAGCUGGUUCUCUCCGAAAUAGCUUUAGGGCUAGCCUCGGAAUUGAGAAUGAUGGAGGUAGAGCACUGUUUGGACUAGGGGCCCAUCUCGGGUUACCGAAUUCAGAUAAACUCCGAAUGCCAUUCAUUCAUAUCCGGGAGUCAGACUGUGAGUGAUAAGAUCCAUAGUCGAAAGGGAAACAGCCCAGACCACCAGCUAAGGUCCCAAAAUAUAUGUUAAGUGGAAAAGGAUGUGGGGUUGCACAGACAACUAGGAUGUUGGCUUAGAAGCAGCCACCAUUUAAAGAGUGCGUAAUAGCUCACUAGUCGAGUGACCCUGCGCCGAAAAUGUACCGGGGCUAAACAUAUUACCGAAGCUGUGGAGUACACCUUUAGGUGUAUUGGUAGGAGAGCGUUCUAAGGGCGUUGAAGGCAGAUCGUGAGGACUGCUGGAGCGCUUAGAAGUGAGAAUGCCGGUAUGAGUAGCGAAAGACAGGUGAGAAUCCUGUCCACCGAAUGACUAAGGUUUCCUGGGGAAGGCUCGUCCGCCCAGGGUUAGUCGGGACCUAAGCCGAGGCCGACAGGCGUAGGCGAUGGAUAACAGGUUGAUAUUCCUGUACCCGUUGUUUUUGUUUGAGCAAUGGAGGGACGCAGGAGGCUAAGGAAUGCAGACGAUCGGAAAUGUCUGUCCAAGCAGUAAGUCUGAAGAGGAGUCAAAUGCUUCUUUUCUUAAGGACAAGCUGUGAUGGGGAGGGAAAUAAUAGUACCGAAGUUCCUGAUGUCACACUGCCGAGAAAAGCUUCUAGUGAGAAAACAGCGGCCCGUACCGCAAACCGACACAGGUAGUCGAGGAGAGAAUCCUAAGGUGAGCGAGAGAACUCUCGUUAAGGAACUCGGCAAAAUGACCCCGUAACUUCGGGAGAAGGGGUGCUGAUCAUACGAUCAGCCGCAGUGAAUAGGCCCAAGCGACUGUUUAUCAAAAACACAGGUCUCUGCAAAAUCGUAAGAUGAAGUAUAGGGGCUGACGCCUGCCCGGUGCUGGAAGGUUAAGAGGAGUGCUUAGCGCAAGCGAAGGUACGAAUUGAAGCCCCAGUAAACGGCGGCCGUAACUAUAACGGUCCUAAGGUAGCGAAAUUCCUUGUCGGGUAAGUUCCGACCCGCACGAAAGGCGUAACGAUUUGGGCACUGUCUCAACGAGAGACUCGGUGAAAUUUUAGUACCUGUGAAGAUGCAGGUUACCCGCGACAGGACGGAAAGACCCCAUGGAGCUUUACUGUAGUUUGAUAUUGAGUGUCUGUACCGCAUGUACAGGAUAGGUAGGAGCCGUAGAAAUCGGAACGCUAGUUUCGAUGGAGGCGCUGGUGGGAUACUACCCCUGCGUUAUGGCCACUCUAACCCGCACCACUAAUCGUGGUGGGAGACAGUGUCAGAUGGGCAGUUUGACUGGGGCGGUCGCCUCCUAAAAGGUAACGGAGGCGCCCAAAGGUUCCCUCAGAAUGGUUGGAAAUCAUUCGAAGAGUGUAAAGGCAGAAGGGAGCUUGACUGCGAGACCAACAAGUCGAGCAGGGACGAAAGUCGGGCUUAGUGAUCCGGUGGUUCCGCAUGGAAGGGCCAUCGCUCAACGGAUAAAAGCUACCCUGGGGAUAACAGGCUUAUCUCCCCCAAGAGUCCACAUCGACGGGGAGGUUUGGCACCUCGAUGUCGGCUCGUCGCAUCCUGGGGCUGUAGUCGGUCCCAAGGGUUGGGCUGUUCGCCCAUUAAAGCGGCACGCKAGCUGGGUUCAGAACGUCGUGAGACAGUUCGGUYCCUAUCCGUCGCGGGCGUUGGAAAUUUGAGAGGAGCUGUCCUUAGUACGAGAGGACCGGGAUGGACUUACCGCUGGUGUACCAGUUGUUCUGCCAAGGGCAUUGCUGGGUAGCUAUGUAGGGAAGGGAUAAACGCUGAAAGCAUCUAAGUGUGAAGCCCACCUCAAGAUGAGAUUUCCCAUUUCUUUAAGAAAGUAAGAUCCCUGAGAGAUGAUCAGGUAGAUAGGUCAGGAGUGGAAGUACAGUGAUGUAUGGAGCGGACUGAUACUAAUCGAUCGAGGACUUAACCAAU
rnacentral:rRNA from 1 species